AUGUCUUGAACGCUGAAUUCAGUGUGAUUUCUGAAACGGGGGAACCAAUCGGAUAUGUCUGCUGCGUAAACGCCGGACGUAUCCAUGGGGUGAAUUUCUGAAGUGCUGUACCAGUAUUUCAGAAUAGGGCGACUUCCUCGCCCGAAUCCGACAGCUAACCUCGUAAGCGUGCAGGGAGAGGCAGC
rnacentral:sRNA from 1 species